rnacentral:rRNA from 1 species
AUGUCCAUCGUCCCACCGUUCCCGCAGCAUUACAAUAUUUACUCCAUUUACGACACUCGUUAUGCAGUCCUCUCCAAAGAAGAAGGCGACACACUUUUCUACUUGUAUGUGUCAAUGGAGUAUAUCAUGCACACAAAAUGUUUCAAUGUGCGUGUCUAUGUGUUGCAAGAUGGUGUAUGGCGUAUGCAAACCUCGGCCACCACUAAAACCUCUUCUCUGCUAUAUGACAGUAAACCUAUGCUUGUCAACAAUAAAAUCUAUUUCUUUGUCCAAGACAAGAGUGCCUGGAGUGGCGUUCUUUUAUUGGAUUUGUCAGCCACAAGCUUCUCCGCAAUUAAGUUCCCACAAGGGGUGAACUAUGGCUGUUUAAACACCAAGUUGUCACGGGCCGAUGAUGCUUCUAGUGUAUAUCUCAUCAAGCUGAAGGAGUUUCAGCUUCGCAUCUGGCUCUGCAAGGGGGACAACUGGUCAUUGGUGGACACUAUUUGUUUGCAUGACAUGGUUGCUAAUUUGAGGAUGUCGGAUCGCAUUAUUGACAAUGAACAAAAUCCUCCAAUUUGGAUAAGGGAGGUGGGGGACAAUGCUGAGUUUAUGUUCUUGAUGAUGAGUGGAUGCUUGCUCUAUCUGGAUAUCAAGUGCAGGAAACUGCGUAUAUGGUCAGAAGAUGAACCUUCUGAUCCUAUCCAUCCUUUUAUGAUGUUCUGGCCCCCCAAAUUCCCUGCACUCAAGGAUGAUCCUACAAGGUUUGUUUUCUGUCCUUAA